rnacentral:rRNA from 1 species
AGAGAAUAGAUACCCUGGUAGUCCACACGGUAAACGAUGAAUGCUAGGUGUAGGAGGUAUCGACCCCUUCUGUGCCGCAGUUAACACAAUAAGCAUUCCGCCUGGGGAGUACGGUCGCAAGAUUAAAACUCAAAGGAAUUGACGGGGGCCCGCACAAGCAGCGGAGCAUGUGGUUUAAUUCGACGCAACGCGAAGAACCUUACCAGGUCUUGACAUCCAGUUAAAGCUGUUGAAAGAUAGUGUCCCUUCGGGGGAACUGAGACAGGUGGUGCAUGGUUGUCGUCAGCUCGUGUCGUGAGAUGUUGGGUUAAGUCCCGCAACGAGCGCAACCCUUAUUGAUAGUUACUAACGCGUAGAGGCGAGGACUCUAUUGAGACUGCCGGGGACAACUCGGAGGAAGGUGGGGACGACGUCAAAUCAUCAUGCCCCUUAUGACCUGGGCUAUACACGUGCUACAAUGGCCGAUACAGAGAGAAGCGAAAGCGCGAGCCGGAGCGGAUCUCACAAAAGCGGUCGAAGUUCGGAUUGUGGGCU